rnacentral:rRNA from 1 species
UACGAAGGGGGCUAGCGUUGCUCGGAAUUACUGGGCGUAAAGGGCGCGUAGGCGGACAGUUAAGUCAGAGGUGAAAGCCCAGGGCUCAACCCUGGAAUAGCCUUUGAUACUGGCUGUCUUGAGUGCGGGAGAGGUGUGUGGAACUCCGAGUGUAGAGGUGAAAUUCGUAGAUAUCGAGAGGAACACCGGUGGCGAAGGCGGCUUUCUGGACGGUUACUGACGCUGAGACGCGAAAGCGUGGGGAGCAAACAGG